GGGGCUAUAGUUCAGAGGUAGAACACUCGAUCGGCAGUCGAGAGAUUCCGGUUCGAUUCCGGAUAGCUCCA
rnacentral:tRNA from 1 species